rnacentral:lncRNA from 1 species
UUACCUUCUAUAGGGAAUGAGUAGAGGGAGAUGCUCCCUCCUCGUCGUCCUCAGGUGGUAACUCUUCAAGGUGCUCAUCAGCAGGAGUGCCCAUCUCUUCAAUGUAGAAGGCUUGCCCGAACACAGUUGGUUGCCUCAUUUUCCUCUUGAUGUCAAAGUGGAGGAUGUUCUCUUUACCCAAAUGGAGAUCAAUCGUGCCCUCCUUCACAUUAACA